rnacentral:rRNA from 1 species
AUGGUGAAUGUGAUAUGUAAUCUUCCCUUGAGGGGUGGGGUGGCCAUUUUUAAGGACCCGUUCAGGAGGGGUGACAACCUCCUUGUUAUAUGCGACUGCUACACACCACAAGGUGUUCCAAUCCCCACCAACAAGAGGCAUAAUGCUGCCAAGAUCUUCAACACCUCGAAGGUUGCAGCUGAGGAGACAUGGUUGGAAGAAAAGAAGAAGAUCCUGAGAAGAUCUUAG